rnacentral:snRNA from 1 species
UUGCUAUGGCAGCACAUAUACUAAAAUUAGAAUGAUACAGAGAAGAUUAGCAUGGCCCCUGUGCAUGGAUGACAUGCAAAUUUGUGAAGCAUUCUAUAUUUAA